rnacentral:rRNA from 1 species
AUCAGAAGUGCGAAUGCUGACAUAAGUAACGAUAAAGCGGGUGAAAAGCCCGCUCGCCGGAAGACCAAGGGUUCCUGUCCAACGUUAAUCGGGGCAGGGUGAGUCGACCCCUAAGGCGAGGCCGAAAGGCGUAGUCGAUGGGAAACAGGUUAAUAUUCCUGUACUUGGUGUUACUGCGAAGGGGGGACGGAGAAGGCUAUGUUGGCCGGGCGACGGUUGUCCCGGUUUAAGCGUGUAGGCUGGUUUUCCAGGCAAAUCCGGAAAAUCAAGGCUGAGGCGUGAUGACGAGGCACUACGGUGCUGAAGCAACAAAUGCCCUGCUUCCAGGAAAAGCCUCUAAGCAUCAGGUAACAUCAAAUCGUACCCCAAACCGACACAGGUGGUCAGGUAGAGAAUACCAAGGCGCUUGAGAGAACUCGGGUGAAGGAACUAGGCAAAAUGGUGCCGUAACUUCGGGAGAAGGCACGCUGAUAUGUAGGUGAAGUCCCUUGCGGAUGGAGCUGAAAUCAGUCGAAGAUACCAGCUGGCUGCAACUGUUUAUUAAAAACACAGCACUGUGCAAACACGAAAGUGGACGUAUACGGUGUGACGCCUGCCCGGUGCCGGAAGGUUAAUUGAUGGGGUCAGCGCAAGCGAAGCUCUUGAUCGAAGCCCCGGUAAACGGCGGCCGUAACUAUAACGGUCCUAAGGUAGCGAAAUUCCUUGUCGGGUAAGUUCCGACCUGCACGAAUGGCGUAAUGAUGGCCAGGCUGUCUCCACCCGAGACUCAGUGAAAUUGAACUCGCUGUGAAGAUGCAGUGUACCCGCGGCAAGACGGAAAGACCCCGUGAACCUUUACUAUAGCUUGACACUGAACAUUGAGCCUUGAUGUGUAGGAUAGGUGGGAGGCUUUGAAGUGUGGACGCCAGUCUGCAUGGAGCCGGCCUUGAAAUACCACCCUUUAAUGUUUGAUGUUCUAACGUGGACCCGUGAUCCGGGUUGCGGACAGUGUCUGGUGGGUAGUUUGACUGGGGCGGUCUCCUCCUAAAGAGUAACGGAGGAGCACGAAGGUUGGCUAAUCCUGGUCGGACAUCAGGAGGUUAGUGCAAUGGCAUAAGCCAGCUUGACUGCGAGCGUGACGGCGCGAGCAGGUGCGAAAGCAGGUCAUAGUGAUCCGGUGGUUCUGAAUGGAAGGGCCAUCGCUCAACGGAUAAAAGGUACUCCGGGGAUAACAGGCUGAUACCGCCCAAGAGUUCAUAUCGACGGCGGUGUUUGGCACCUCGAUGUCGGCUCAUCACAUCCUGGGGCUGAAGUAGGUCCCAAGGGUAUGGCUGUUCGCCAUUUAAAGUGGUACGCGAGCUGGGUUUAGAACGUCGUGAGACAGUUCGGUCCCUAUCUGCCGUGGGCGCUGGAGAACUGAGGGGGGCUGCUCCUAGUACGAGAGGACCGGAGUGGACGCAUCACUGGUGUUCGGGUUGUCAUGCCAAUGGCACUGCCCGGUAGCUAAAUGCGGAAGAGAUAAGUGCUGAAAGCAUCUAAGCACGAAACUUGCCCCGAGAUGAGUUCUCCCUGACCCUUUAAGGGUCCUGAAGGAACGUUGAAGACGACGACGUUGAUAGGCCGGGUGUGUAAGCGCAGCGAUGCGUUGAGCUAACCGGUACUAAUGAACCGUGAGGCUUAACCUU